UGCCUCUUCAAGCAGCUUGGCUUCCUUAGAGCAUAGUGACCUCAGGGAAUCCAGAUUUCUUGCUCCGAAUGCUAGAAACAAGUAGUCCAGUGAACUGGGUGAGAGCUGCAUCACUUGGUGUCACCCAGCUCCGUGAAUCACACAGAGCCACUUCUGUUGUGUUGUCCCCGUUACAGGCCAUCCGCAGGCCCUCCCAGAUUCCAGGGGAGGAGGACAUGGAGUGUCAAAGUCACAUUGUACAAGAGCAGGUGCAGUGGGAUGGCCGCCUCCAUCUUUGGAACAAGCGAUCUCUUACCACUCACCCCUCUAACAGCAAAAGAAUCCAACUGGCUUUCUCGUUGUCCUGUGGAAUGUACUCAUCACCACCUGGAGAAUCAAAUGCCAGCUCGCUGUAUACGGGAGCAGAGUGAAGCUGCAAGACGUAGAGUAUCCAAACUCACAGCAGCUUGAGAAGUCAAUCAAUGAUAGAAGAAAAAGGAUCCAGAGACUCCAUGGAAGAUUCCUGAUGGGAAAAGAUGAGCU
rnacentral:lncRNA from 1 species